rnacentral:rRNA from 1 species
AUUGAACGCUGGCGGCAGGCCUAACACAUGCAAGUCGAGCGGAGCGGCGGACGGGUGAGUAAUGCCUAGGCAUCUGCCUGGUAGUGGGGGAUAACGUCCGGAAACGGGCGCUAAUACCGCAUACUAUCAGAUGAGCCUAGGUCGGAUUAGCUAGUUGGUGGGGUAAAGGCCUACCAAGGCGACGGUCCGUAACGGGCCUGAGAGGAUGAUCAGUCACACUGGAACUGCGACCCGGUCCAGACUCUUACGGGAGGCAGCAGUGGGGAAUAUUGGACAAUGGGCGAAAGCCUGAUCCAGCCAUGCCGCGUGUGUGAAGAAGUUCUUCGGAUGGUAAAGCACUUUAAGUUGGGAGGCGUUACCAACAGAAUAAGCACCGGCUAACUUCGUGCCAGCAGCCGCGGUAAUUC